CAUUGGCUGAAUGCUACAAGUUUUAAAACCUGGAAAUGAUAACAGCAAAUGCCGGUGUUCACAGUUAUUGAAGAUUAUUGGCCCAAAAGUCAGCCGUUGUAGGAAAAUGACAUGAGUGACAGCCCCAAGCCUGUCUGUGGCAUCCUCUAUGGGAAGUGGACCUUGAGCCGCAGAAUACUUAGGCCUUCAUAAGAUCAGAUUGCUUGGCUAGCUGUAUCUGAAGCUGGUAAAUAGAGCUCUAUAAUGAAUAAAGGCAAAGGUUAAACACUAGUGACUGAGCAGAGAGCACAGAGAGGAGAUGAAAGACCAAAUUAAAAGCAGUUAAUCUCUGAAUUGAAAAGAAAAUUUCAAAGACAAUGUAAAAGAGUUUUUAGUUCAGGAGAAAAAAGGUAGUUGGUGGCUCUCUCAUCAAUGGAAAUGAAUAUCUGAGAUUGAAAUGAAAGAAGAAAAGCUAUUCAUUGGAGUAUCUAGGAUGAAACCACUAGAGCAACAGGUCAGGGAAUCGGUGUUAUGUGCAAUAGAGUGCUCUAGGGAAAAUUCAAGAAAAGCCUCAUUGACCCAAACUGGAAACUUCCCCAGAGUGUGAGAAAGCUUAAAACAAUGGCUUAGCCCAAGAAAUAGCAGAGAUUAUAAUAAAUAAUCUUUGAUAGAAGAUCAAAUGCAUUCUCUCUCUCUCAUACACACACACACACACACACACACACACACACACACACACACACACACACACAUUUGAUAGCAUUCCAGGGAUCAACUGGUGUCUUUUUGCCAGAAAGUAAAUGGCAUCUCUCCCAAGGCAGGAUGAGGCAUUUGGCUCAGCAUCUGAAGGGAAGAACUGUGGGAAGUAAUAGCCAUAAUGCCCAUGAGAAUGCUCAACAAAAGUGGAAGUUUCAAGGGAAUAUUUGAAAAUAAUGUUAGAAAAAAUUAUGACAUCAACAUCCAAAGGAAUUCUCCGCCCAUUUUUAAUUGUCUGCGUUAUCCUGGGCUGCUUCAUGGCAUGCCUGUUAAUUUAUAUCAAGCCCACCAACAGCUGGAUCUUUAGUCCAAUGGAAUCUGCCAGCUCAGUCCUGAAAAUGAAAAGCUUCUUUUCCACCAAACCUGAUUAUUUCAACGAAACUACUAUUCUGGUAUGGGUGUGGCCAUUUGGGCAGACCUUUGACCUUACAUCCUGCCAAGCAAUGUUCAACAUCCAAGGAUGUCAUCUCACCACUGACCGAUCAUUGUACAACAAAUCCCACGCAGUCCUGAUCCAUCACCGAGACAUCAGUUGGGAUCUCACGAAUUUACCUCAGCAGGCGAGGCCACCUUUCCAGAAAUGGAUUUGGAUGAAUUUGGAAUCUCCAACUCAUACUCCCCAAAAGAGUGGCAUCGAGCACUUGUUCAAUCUGACUCUGACCUACCGCCGCGAUUCUGAUAUCCAAGUGCCUUACGGCUUCUUGACGGUGAGCACAAACCCCUUCGUAUUUGAAGUGCCCAGCAAAGAGAAGUUAGUGUGCUGGGUUGUUAGUAACUGGAACCCCGAACACGCCAGGGUAAAGUAUUACAACGAGCUAAGCAAGAGUAUCGAAAUCCACACCUAUGGGCAAGCAUUCGGAGAAUAUGUGAAUGAUAAAAAUUUGAUUCCAACCAUAUCUACUUGUAAAUUUUACCUUUCCUUUGAAAACUCCAUUCACAAAGAUUAUAUCACAGAAAAGCUCUACAAUGCUUUUUUGGCUGGUUCAGUACCUGUUGUUCUGGGACCGUCUAGGGAAAACUAUGAGAAUUAUAUUCCAGCAGAUUCAUUCAUUCAUGUGGAAGAUUAUAACUCCCCCAGUGAGCUAGCAAAAUAUCUGAAGGAAGUUGACAAGAACAAUAAGUUAUACCUUAGUUACUUUAACUGGAGGAAGGAUUUCACUGUAAACCUUCCACGAUUUUGGGAAUCACAUGCAUGUUUGGCUUGUGAUCAUGUAAAAAGACACCAGGAAUAUAAAUCUGUUGGUAAUCUAGAGAAAUGGUUUUGGAAUUAAAGCUUUCUAUCACUUGCACAUGCAGUAAAAUAUUUUGGUGAAAUAAUCAGGAGUUGAGGGUAAAAAAAGAGAAACAACAUUUUGCUUUUAUGUCACCAUUUAUUUUUAUCACCUCAUGGGUAACAUGGAAAUUUGGUGAUAAUUUUCAAGUUCUCAUUAUUAGCAAUCAUUCCACUUGGUUUUAAUUUAUCCUGUAUAUACCUAAUUACAUGCACUGAAAGUAAUUUAUUUGUCAGAACCAUUUGCAAAGGUUCUUCACAUUUGUGUAGUUACCUGUAAUAUCAAUUUAUGAGUCAAUUCUUGCUACACAGCUCUCUGGGAAAUGAAGUCUCAAGAUAUAAAAGAUUUUCAUAAAUAUUACAAUCUCUAGUUACAACUUUACAUAAUGAUUACAAAAUAUGAAUGUGCUAUGGUUAAAUUCUAACUCCUUUGACUUCAGAAUUGAAUAAGGUAUGAAAUGUUGGGUCUGUUUGUGGGUUUUUUAACCUAUUUAUCAUCAUGUUUCUGAUGGCAGAAUUGCCCAUGUCAUGAAUAGAAAAGAUAUGAAACAGAACUGUUCUAUUGAGGAAGUGAUUAGACUUCAAUAAGUUUCUCAUUAUGAUUCCAAGACCCUUAAUGUGGCCACCUAGAAAAUGUCUCUUGCAUGAAUCAAUACCCUGUAAAUAAGUUUUACAUUUUCAUAUUAUGACUUGGUGCUUAAAGGUAUCUUAGAAAUUACUUGAAUGCUAACCUUGUUCAGGAGAACUGCUUCAAAACUGUAACCAGGCUCUUAAGUACAGCAGAGAAGAAACUGAAGGAUGAGCACAGUGUCUAAUAUGAACCAGGAUUUCAGCAGUAUUUUUGAAUGAAUA